rnacentral:piRNA from 1 species
AAUCACUGAGAGCUGCUACCGCC